AUACGUAGGGUGCAAGCGUUAAUCGGAAUUACUGGGCGUAAAGCGUGCGCAGGCGGUUUUGUAAGACAGAGGGGAAAUCCCCGGGCUCAACCUGGGAACUGCCUUUGUGACUGCAAGGCUAGAGUACGGCAGAGGGGGGUGGGAUUCCGCGUGUAGCAGGGGAAUGCGUAGAUAUGCGGAGGAACACCGAUGGCGAAGGCAAUCCCCUGGGCCUGUACUGACGCUCAUGCACGAAAGCGUGGGGAGCAAACAGGAUUAGAUACCCUGGUAGUCCACGCCCUAAACGAUGUCAACUGGUUGUUGGGUCUUCAUUGACUCAGUAACGAAGCUAACGCGUGAAGUUGACCGCCUGGGGAGUACGGCCGCAAGGUUGAAACUUAAAGGAAUUGACGGGG
rnacentral:rRNA from 1 species